rnacentral:rRNA from 1 species
UGGGGGAUAUUGCACAAUGGGGGGAACCCUGAUGCAGCGACGCCGCGUGGGUGAAGAAGCGCCUCGGCGCGUAAAGCCCUGUCGGCAGGGAAGAAAAUGACGGUACCUGAAGAAGAAGCCCCGGCUAACUACGUGCC